UUAGAUGUCCGGGGCCGCACGCGCGCUACACUGAAGGAAUCAGCGUGUGCUUUCCCGGUCCGCCAGGACUGGGUAACCCGUUGAACCUCCUUCGUGAUAGGGAUAGGGGCUUGUAAUUAUUCCCCUUGAACGAGGAAUGCCCAGUAAGCGCGAGUCAUAACCUCGUGUUGACUAAGUCCCUGCCCUUUGUGCACACCGCCCGUCGCUACCUCCGAUUGAAUGAUUUAGUGAGGUCUUCGGACUGGCGCUCGGAACGGUCUCUCGGCCGGGCCGACGUGCCGGAAAGAUGACCGAACUUGAUCAUUUAGAGGAAGUAAAAGUCGUAACAAGGUUUCC
rnacentral:rRNA from 1 species